rnacentral:rRNA from 1 species
UACGAAGGGGGCUAGCGUUGCUCGGAAUCACUGGGCGUAAAGCGCACGUAGGCGGCUUCUUAAGUCAGGGGUGAAAUCCUGGAGCUCAACUCCAGAACUGCCCUUGAUACUGAGGAGCUUGAGUCCGGGAGAGGUGAGUGGAACUGCGAGUGUAGAGGUGAAAUUCGUAGAUAUUCGCAAGAACACCAGUGGCGAAGGCGGCUCACUGGCCCGGUACUGACGCUGAGGCACGAAAGCGUGGGGAGCAAACGGG